CCCUUAGAUGUUCUGGGCCGCACGCGCGCUACACUGACGAUGGCAACGAGUUUUUCCUUCGCCGAAAGGUGUGGGUAAUCUUUUGAAACAUCGUCGUGCUGGGGAUAGAUCAUUGCAAUUUUUGAUCUUGAACGAGGAAUUCCUAGUAAGCGCGAGUCAUCAGCUCGCGUUGAUUACGUCCCUGCCCUUUGUACACACCGCCCGUCGCUACUACCGAUUGAAUGGUUUAGUGAGAUGUUUGGACCGGAACUCUCUUGCUCAGCAAUGGGCGAGAGAGAGUCUGGGAAGUCCCUCUAACUGUAUCAUUUAGAGGAAGUAAAAGUCGUAACA
rnacentral:rRNA from 1 species